rnacentral:rRNA from 1 species
AUACGGAGGGUGCAAGCGUUAUUCGGAAUCACUGGGCGUAAAGGACGCGUAGGCGGGUUGGCAAGUCAGAUGUGAAAUCCUACAGCUUAACUGUAGAACUGCAUUUGAAACUGCUAACCUAGAGUAUGGGAGGGGGAGAUGGAAUUAGUGGUGUAGGGGUAAAAUCCGUAGAUAUCACUAGGAAUACCGAAAGCGAAGGCGAUUUCCUGGAACAUAACUGACGCUAAGGCGUGAAAGCGUGGGGAGCAAACAGGAUUAGAAACCCUAGUAGUCC